GAGUUUGAUCUUGGCUCAGAUUGAACGCUGGCGGCAUGCCUUACACAUGCAAGUCGAACGGCAGCAUGAUCUAGCUUGCUAGAUUGAUGGCGAGUGGCGAACGGGUGAGUAAUACAUCGGAACGUGCCCUGUAGUGGGGGAUAACUAGUCGAAAGAUUAGCUAAUACCGCAUACGACCUGAGGGUGAAAGUGGGGGACCGCAAGGCCUCAUGCUAUAGGAGCGGCCGAUGUCUGAUUAGCUAGUUGGUGGGGUAAAGGCCCACCAAGGCGACGAUCAGUAGCUGGUCUGAGAGGACGAUCAGCCACACUGGGACUGAGACACGGCCCAGACUCCUACGGGAGGCAGCAGUGGGGAAUUUUGGACAAUGGGCGAAAGCCUGAUCCAGCAAUGCCGCGUGUGUGAAG
rnacentral:rRNA from 1 species